GAUCAUGGCUCAGGAUGGACGCUAGCUACAGGCUUAACACAUGCAAGUCGGAGGGGCAGCAUGGUCUUAGCUUGCUAAGGCCGAUGGCGACCGGCGCACGGGUGAGUAACACGUAUCCAACCUGCCGUCUACUCUUGGACAGCCUUCUGAAAGGAAGAUUAAUACAAGAUGGCAUCAUGAGUUCACAUGUUCACAUGGAUUAAAGGUAUUCCGGUAGACGAUGGGG
rnacentral:rRNA from 1 species